rnacentral:rRNA from 1 species
UGGGGAAUUUUGGACAAUGGGCGAAAGCCUGAUCCAGCAAUGCCGCGUGUGUGAAGAAGGCCUUCGGGUUGUAAAGCACUUUUGUCCGGAAAGAAAUCCUUGGCUCUAAUACAGUCGGGGGAUGACGGUACCGGAAGAAUAAGCACCGGCUAACUACGUGCCAGCAGCCGCGGUAAUACGUAGGGUGCAAGCGUUAAUCGGAAUUACUGGGCGUAAAGCGUGCGCAGGCGGUUUGCUAAGACCGAUGUGAAAUCCCCGGGCUCAACCUGGGAACUGCAUUGGUGACUGGGCAGGCUAGAGUAUGGCAGAGGGGGGUAGAAUUCCACGUGUAGCAGUGAAAUGCGUAGAGAUGUGGAGGAAUACCGAUGGCGAAGGCAGCCCCCUGGGCCAAUACUGACGCUCAUGCACGAAAGCGUGGGGAGCAAACAGGAUUAGAUACCCUGGUAGUCCACGCCCUAAACGAUGUCAACUAGUUGUUGGGGAUUCAUUUCCUUAGUAACGUAGCUAACGCGUGAAGUUGACCGCCUGGGGAGUACGGUCGCAAGAUUAAAACUCAAAGGAAUUGACGGGGUCAUAGCUG